rnacentral:lncRNA from 1 species
UCCUCCAUGCUUGUCUUGAUCUACAAUAUUAUUAAACUAGGUUAGAAAGAAAGAUAAGAUGGUGGUCGGUCCUAUACCGAUCAUACGAGUAUAAGAAAAUCUUUGAGAGAAAUAAUAGGAAAGAGAGAGACAGGUGAGGCAUCUACAAGAAGAGAAAAAAGAGAGAGAAAAGAAUAGAGGAGAGGCAAAACAAUUAGAGUAGUGCAACCUAAUGGCGAUAGGGUUCACUACAACAAAAUAGGUUAUUAGCGA